rnacentral:ncRNA from 1 species
UUCUUGUAGUUCUGUGGUUGAAAAUCCAGGCCAGUUGCGGGCAAAGGGAUCCACGUAAGUUGUCGCAGGAGGCGGCAGUGAUCAUGGCGCAGCUUAGAAGUAAGUCCUCGGGGAAACCCCGGUCAAGGCGAGUGUGGGGGCAAAGACCAGGUCAGAUACAAGAA